rnacentral:rRNA from 1 species
AACGAACGCUGGCGGCAGGCCUAACACAUGCAAGUCGAGCGAGGACUUCGGUCCUAGCGGCGGACGGGUGAGUAACGCGUGGGAACGUGCCCUUUGCUUCGGAAUAGCCCUGGGAAACUGGGAUUAAUACCGGAUGAGCCCUUUGGGGGAAAGAUUUAUCGGCGAAGGAUCGGCCCGCGUUGGAUUAGGUAGUUGGUGGGGUAAUGGCCUACCAAGCCGACGAUCCAUAGCUGGUUUGAGAGGAUGAUCAGCCACACUGGGACUGAGACACGGCCCAGACUCCUACGGGAGGCAGCAGUGGGGAAUCUUAGACAAUGGGGGAAACCCUGAUCGAGCCAUGCCGGGUGAGCGAUGAAGGCGUUAGGGUUGUAAAGCUCUUUCAGCUGGGAAGAUAAUGACGGUACCAGAAGAAGAAGCCCCGGCUAACUCCGUG